rnacentral:snoRNA from 1 species
ACAAUCCCAUAAAGCCUUACUCUUUCCGUUCCGCAUAUGGUUGGAGUUACGAUUUAUAUGGGAUAUAUUGAAGGAUGUUCCCAAAGGAAACAUCACUUGUCAGUACACAGUGGGUGGUGUGUCGACAUGAGGAAUACAUCUUU